UACGAAGGGGGCUAGCGUUGUUCGGAAUUACUGGGCGUAAAGCGCACGUAGGCGGAUUGGUCAGUUAGGGGUGAAAUCCCAGGGCUCAACCCUGGAACUGCCUUUAAUACUGCCAAUCUAGAGUUCGAGAGAGGUGAGUGGAAUUCCGAGUGUAGAGGUGAAAUUCGUAGAUAUUCGGAGGAACACCAGUGGCGAAGGCGGCUCACCGGCUCGACACUGACGCUGAGGUGCGAAAGCGUGGGGAGCAAACAGG
rnacentral:rRNA from 1 species